GUUGAUGCAGCCCUGCCAACUCGUACGAACUCGUGAAAAGAAAAGGAUUUAGCGAAGUCGCCGACUUGAAAGUAAAGUGCAAGGAAAAAAUAGAUUUGUUUUGUUGAUUGAAGUGUUCUUCUUACAAGCCUUACGAGGCAGCUAUUUAUACCCUAUUAUAACUAAUUUCCUAACCGACUAGGAUCUAUCUCUAACAGAUAUUUACAAACGAACACAACCCGCAUUGGAGUUGGUUAUUAUUUUCUCAUGGGCCAAUCUUCAUCUUCAGCAAAUCAUCAUCCUGGCCCACUUUCAGCGCACAUCGGCCAAGCCGUUCUGGCUCCCAACCGGCCAGUCUUCAUUGACUCCCUCAGCCCAUCGGCUGAAACACUAUAGCUCUAAUCGGC
rnacentral:lncRNA from 1 species